CCUACGGGUGGCAGCAGUGGGGAAUAUUGGACAAUGGGGGGAACCCUGAUCCAGCGACGCCGCGUGAGUGAAGAAGUUUUUCGGUAUGUAAAGCUCUAUCAGCAGGGGAGAAAAUGACGGUACCUGACUACGAAGCCCCGGCUAACUACGUGCCAGCAGCCGCGGUAAUUCGUGGGGGGCAAGCGUUAUCCGGAUUUACUGGGUGUAAAGGGGGCGUAGUCGGGGCAGCAAGUCUGAUGGGAAAGGUCGGGGCCCAACCCCGGGACUGCAUUGGAAACUGUUGAACUGGAGUACAGGAGAGGUAAGCGGAAUGCGUAGUGUAGCGGUGAAAUGCGUAGAUAUUAGGAGGAACACCAGUUGCGAAGGCGGCUUACUGGACUGUAACUGACGUGGAGGCACGAAAGCGUGGGGAGCAAACAGGAUUAGAUACCCGAGUAGUC
rnacentral:rRNA from 1 species